UCGGACGUGGUGCACGGCGCAUGCCUGCUUUACCUUUCUCUUGAGGAUGUGUCUAAAUGAAAUGAAGCGGGAGCACCGGGUUCGACUCCCGGCGUCCGAA